GUGCUUGUUUUGGCAACACAAAAACUAAAAUUGGAUUGAUAAAGAGAAGAUUAGCAUGGCCCAUGAGCAAAGAUAACACAGAUUCAUGAAACAUUCUAUAUUUUCUU